GGGGCGGUCACUGUGAAAGUCACUGUUAAAGGGGCGGUCAUUGUGAAAGCGGCGGGCACUAUGGAGGUCAUUGUUAAAGAGGCGGGUACUGUAGAGGUCACUGUUAUGGGGGAAACUGUCGAUAUCUUUUUAUAACACACGGAAACAU